rnacentral:lncRNA from 1 species
GCCACAUGGUUCCCUGUGCAGCGCCCCGUGGGUCCCAGCAGACACAGCACCAUAAUGGGAGACUUCUAGGCCGAGAGGGCAAAAGCUUCAAACAGCAGGCGGCAGCACCAGCUGUGUGGUGGCUGGGAGCUGGUCUAGCCUCCGCCUUCCUUCCAGAAGUCUCCCCAGCAUCCUCAACCAGGUCAGAUCCCCCAGCAUGACUCAACAUCCCUUCGACUUCCCUUCUGCAGCCCUGGCAGGAGCUGUGUUGCAGCGGUGCCUGUUGCAUGUGGAAGUCUCCCUUCAAGGUUUGCAUCAUGGAACUCACCUGGCCCAACCUCUCAGGGAGGAAAAUUCCAACCAGAGAGGGAAAUUUCCCAGUGGCUCCAGCCUCGGGAUCCUGCAACCUGAACACCUACUGGCUUCUUGGGGUCAUCCACCUUCUGCACCGAGA